GAAAGGAGCAUCAAGCUCAUCACCUUGUGAAGUUCAUCAUAACUUAUUUCAUCUGUAGACUAAUAAACUGUGCUUUCCGAGUGUAGUGGGAGGAACAACACAACAUGUGACUCCAAAAUGUACUUCCAAAUGAUGGUUAUUAAUACAAAUUUGCUGAUAAACUCGUUUCCACGCCAUUUCUUGCAUAACACAUUUUACCGACACUAAAAGAUCCACCGUAUUUUGUUUAGUCAAUAUUUGGAAAGGUAACCAACAAAGUUGCUGUUUCCAUCCGCCUUUUCCAUCCACAUGUACUUUCCGCGCAUAUAAAGGUUGGAUGGAAACCUGGUUAAUGUAGUUAUAGAUUUGUGUGCAUUACUUAGCAGCAUUCUCUCUCUCCAGGUUGAAUGAUUACAACUUAACAGGAAUCCUGUGAGGUGGUGUCUUCAACUCUCAGCUUAAAYACCUCAAGUUUGAGAAAGCUAGACUUAAAGGAAAUGAACUCCAGGAUUCAGGAGUGAGAUUCGUCUGUGCUGGACUUGAGAAUCCACAAUGUAAAUUGGAGACACUGAGGCUGGCAGGCUGCAGCAUCACAGAGAAAGGCUGUGCUUCUCUUGUUUCAGCUCUGAGGUCAAACCCCUCCCACCUGAAGGAGCUGGACCUGAGUGGAAAUACUCCAGGAGACUCUGGAGUAAAGCUGCUCUCUUCUCUACGAGAGGAUCCCCUCUAUAAACUGGAGACACUGGGGUUAAAUGAUUGACAGCUCACAGAGUCAGUGAAGGAAUGGCCUCAGCUCCAAGUCCUUGGUUGUGGGAGUGCGCUGCAGUUAAAUGCUUCUG